rnacentral:rRNA from 1 species
AUUGAACGCUGGCGGCAGGCCUAACACAUGCAAGUCGAACGAGUGGCGGACGGGUGAGUAAUGUCUGGGAAACUGCCCGAUGGAGGGGGAUAACUACUGGAAACGUAAGCUAAUACCGCAUACCAUCGGAUGUGCCCAGAUGUGAUUAGCUAGUCGGUGGGGUAACGGCUCACCUAGGCGACGACCCCUAGCUGGUAUGAGAGGAUGACCAGCCACACUGGAACUGAGACACGGUCCAGAUUCCUACGGGAGGCAGCAGUGGGGAAUAUUGCACAAUGGGCGCAAGCCUGAUACAGCCAUGCCGCGUGUAUGAAGAAGGCCUUCGGGUUGUAAAGUACUUUCAGCGAGGAGGCGUUACUCGCAGAAGAAGCACCGGCUAACUCCGUGCCAGCAGCCGCGGUAAUUC